UGUGCUUAAUUUUAUUGAAUACACACUUAUAGUGCACUUCAAAUCAAAUAAAUGUUACACUUAAGAAAAAAGUUUAAUAUGGAAGCUAGACAUUUUACUUUAUAACUUGAAUAUGGAUAUUUUUCUUACACAGACGCAUCGCUUCGCUUUGGAAGGCCUUUAUUAACCCCCCUGAGCCGUGUGGAAUACGUUUAUGAGGAUGGAUGGAUGUACUUUCUUCAGCUUCAAACUCCUUGGUCCCAUUCACAGCCAUUCUAAAGUCUGAAUGCGUCAGGAAUGCAUUAAUAUAACUCCGAUUGUGUUCAUCAGAAAGAAGAAAGUCAUAUAUACACCUAGGAUGGCUUGAGGGACAAGUACGUUGGGAACCAAACAACACUGGGGCUUACUUCCAUUGAAAGCAUAAAUCCUUCAAUUCGGUAUAAAUCCAUACCGAAAUGGCAAAUAACAACUCCCCGUUUACCAUUGGCUUGGCAGAGGACCACACCAGCCCCACUCCACAUCUAGAGACCAGCCACCCGCCACGGACGACCGGCACGAUGGAGAAUGUUUUUUUUUCUUGUUUUAAGCAUAAAUCCAGUGAUAUAGGUAUAAAUGAACUUAAUUCAAAAUAUAUUCAAGAUAAAUUCUCUGAA